UACGAAGGGGGCUAGCGUUGCUCGGAAUCACUGGGCGUAAAGCGCACGUAGGCGGAUCUUUAAGUCAGGGGUGAAGUCCUGGAGCUCAACUCCAGAACUGCCUUUGAUACUGGGGAUCUCGAGUCCGGAAGAGGUGAGUGGAACUCCGAGUGUAGAGGUGAAAUUCGUAGAUAUUCGGAAGAACACCAGUGGCGAAGGCGGCUCACUGGUCCGGUACUGACGCUGAGGUGCGAAAGCGUGGGGAGCAAACAGG
rnacentral:rRNA from 1 species